AUCGUUGCCCCCCCAAACUCCGGUUCGGGCGGGGCGGAAGUUGGCCUCCCGUGCGUGCCUGCGCGCGCGGUUAGCCCAAAAGCGAGUCCUCGGCGACGAGCGCCACGACAAUCGGUGGUUUUCUUGCCCUCGUUCCUCGUCGUGCGCGCCCCGUCGCYCGAACGCGCUCCUCGACCCUCACGCGUCGUCGCAUCGACGGCGCUCCCAA
rnacentral:misc_RNA from 1 species